GGGCCCGCACAAGCGGCGGAGCAUGCUGAUUAAUUCGAUGCAACGCGAAGAACCUUACCUGGGUUUGACAUAUACCGGAAAGCCGUAGAGAUACGGCCCCUUUUAGUCGGUAUACAGGUGGUGCAUGGCUGUCGUCAGCUCGUGUCGUGAGAUGUUGGGUUAAGUCCCGCAACGAGCGCAACCCUCGUUCUAUGUUGCCAGCACGUAAUGGUGGGGACUCAUAGGAGACUGCCGGGGUCAACUCGGAGGAAGGUGGGGAUGACGUCAAGUCUUCAUGCCCCUUAUGUCCAGGGCUUCAAGCAUGCUACAAUGGCCGGUACAAAGGGCUGCGAAACCGCAAGGUGGAGCGAAUCCCAAAAAGCCGGUCUCAGUUCGGAUUGGGGUCUGCAACUCGACCCCAUGAAGUCGGAGUCGCUAGUAAUCGCAGAUCAGCAACGCUGCGGUGAAUACGUUCCCGGGCCUU
rnacentral:rRNA from 1 species